AUUGAACGCUGGCGGCAGGCCUAACACAUGCAAGUCGAACGAGUGGCGGACGGGUGAGUAAUGUCUGAGAACCGGCCUGAUGGCAGGAGAUAACUGCUGAAAAAGGUAGCUAAUACCGCAAAACAUAGGCAGUGCCCAGAUGGGAUUAGCUUGUUGGGGGGGUAACGGCUCACCAAGGCGACGAUCUCUAGCUGGUCUGAGAGGCAGACCAGCCACACUGGAACUGAGACACGUUCCAGACUCCUACGUGAGGCAGCAGUGGGGAAUAUUGCACAAUGGGCUCAAGCCUGAUGCAGCCAUGCCGCGUGUAUGAAGAAGGCCUUCGUGUUGUAAAGUACUUUCAGCGGGGAGGCGUUACCAACAGAAUAAGCCCCGGCUAACUUCGUGCCAGCAGCCGCGGUAAUAC
rnacentral:rRNA from 1 species